rnacentral:rRNA from 1 species
AUGAGGCCAUCAGAAGUGGCUGCCAUGGUGGUGGUGUUGCUCCUGGCCACGGCGGCUGCAGCAGCUAACCAGGUGAUGGUGCUGGAGCGGGUGGUGCCGCUCAAGGGGGUCCCACUGGGGGAUCCCAGGGAGCUGGACAGGGCGAGGCAGGCGAGGAUGGGUGUGGUAAAUGUCCCUGUGCAGGGCAACGCCAACCCAUUCGCUGAUGAGAUUUAUUAUACUAAUGUGAAAUUAGGAAACCCUCCAAAAGAACAUACUUUCCAAAUUGACACUGGAAGUGACAUCUCGUGGGUUGCUUGCAAGGGCUGCAGGGGUUGCUCGACAAGAAGUCCUCUCAAGAUCCCAAUAGAGUUAUACAAUCCCAACUCUUCAUCGACAUCGUCCAGAAUACUAUGCUCGGAUAGUAGCUGUACACUUGCCGACAAUUCAGGAUCAAAAGUCUGCCAUACCUCAGAUUCCACAAGCAGUCUAUGUGGUUAUAAUCUAACAUAUGGUGAUGGAACUGGAGUGUCGGGUUAUUACGUGUCUGACACUAUGCAUCUCGACACUAUCAUGGGAAAUCAACAUUUUGCCAAUGCUUCUGCAUCUGUUGUUUUUGGAUGUACCGAAUCGCUAUCAGGAUUCAUAUAUAUAGAUGGGAUUCUGGCAUUUGGACAGCAGCAACUUUCUAUCAUUUCACAACUGAACUCUUUGGGUGUAUCCCCUAAAAAGUUCUCACAUUGCUUGAAAGGUUCCGAAGAAGGUGGUGGCAUUUUUCUUCUUGGUGAAAUCGUGGAGCCAAGAUUAGUAUUUACUCCACUUGCAGGGCCUCAUUACAACUUGAAUCAGGAGGGCAUUGCUAUCAAUGGCCAAAACCUGCCCAUUGAUUCUUCCUUGUUUGCAACAUCAAAUAAACAAGGACCAAUAGUAGACUCAGGAACAACCCUAACAUACCUUCUAGACGAAGUCUAUGAUGGAUUUGUUAGUGCGAUAGUUGCAGGGGUCUCUCCAUCUGUACGUCCUCUUGGCACCGAGCGGGUUGAGAAGAGGGACAAGUGUUUCCUUUCUUCUAGCAGCAUUGACUUGUUAUUUCCAACCGUCACACUAUAUUUUAAGGGAGGUGCUGCAAUGACAAUGAAGCCACGAAACUAUCUUUUGCUGCAGGGUUAUGUGGGCAAUGAUACUGUGUGGUGCAUUGGCUGGCAAAGUACCAAGGAAAUCCAGAAUGGCCAUGGAAUCACUGUACUCGGAGAUCUUGCUUUACAUGAUAAGAUAUUUGUGUAUGACUUAGAGAAGAUGCGCUUCGGCUGGAUGGACUACAAUUGCUCCUUAAUCAAUAGGAACACCCGGUUUGGUGUGAGUGGCGCAUCAUCAUACUGCAGCCGCUUGAUACCUAUUGGAGUGGCUGUUGUAUGGUUGGUCAGCCUUCUCACGUAG